rnacentral:lncRNA from 1 species
GAUGUUAGCCUGUAAAAUGAACUACAGGAAUAGCUACAGAUUGGAAACAACCUGUGGUGGUUUUAAAAUAUAGCUACAAAUUCUUUAGCACUCCUCUGUAGAGAGGUGGGAUCCUUGUACCCUCUCUGAAUCUUGGGUGAGCUGAUGACUGCUUCAACCAAUGGAGUACGGUGGAAGUAACACUCUGACUUCUAAGGUCCAGACAUAAAAGUACAGGCAACUUCUGCUAGAACUCUAGCUCUUGGAGCCUGAGGCACCAUGCCUACCUAGGGCUCCAUGUCUGCUUAGAGGCUGCCAUGCUGUCAGGAUGCCAAGACCAUCAGGAGAGGACACAUGAAGGCACCACAGUCCCAGCUAAGCUUAGCUUUGAGUCAUCCCAGUUCAAGCAUAAAAGAAGUGAGUGAAGAAGAACCAGAUGAGGCCAGGCACGGUGGCUCACACCUGUAAUCCCAGCACUUUGGGAGGCCAAGGCGGGUGGAUACCCUGAGUUCAGGAGUUCGAGACCAGCCUGGCCACAUGGCAAAACCCCGUCUCUACUAAAAAUACAAAAAUAGCCGGGCAUGGUGGCGUGCACCUGUAAUCCCAGCUACUAGGGAGGAUGAGGCAGGAGAAUUGCUUGAACCCGGGAGGCAGAGGUUGCAGUGAGCCGACAUCAUGCCAUUGCACUGUAGAAGGCGAAGGGGAAGGGGAAGAACAAGAUGAUUCCAGUGGCCAGCCAUUUGAAUCAGCUUCAGCCUUCAAAUCUUCAAAUCUUCCUAGCUGAAGACUCAAACAUUGCAGAGUAGAAACAAGCUGGCCUCACUGUGUCCUGCCUGAAUUCCUGACACACAGAACCCACAAGCAUAUUCAAGUGGUUAUUGUGUUAUACCACUAGGUUUGGGGGGUUUUGUUCUGUGCUAACAGAUAACUGGGACACCACUUAAAUAUCCAUCAAUGGAAGACGAGUUAUGUACAUUAUAUGUCUUUGUGGAAUACUAUGCAUCCAUUAGAAAGAAGAAAUUAGUCUAUAAUUAUUUAUAUUAAUCACACUUCAAGUGAAGAAGGAUGCAGUGUUCUGAAAAGUCUUGAUAGUAUGCCUCCAUUUGAAAUUCUCAAAAAGAUGGCACAUAUAGAGAACUUCUGGGAAAAUAGACAAGAAAGAGGUAACAGUAGAUGCCUUGGGGGAGGGUAACUGAUGGCAAGGGUGGGAAUGAAAUUCACUUUUUUUUUUUUUUUUUGAGAUGGAGUCUCGCUCUGUCACCAGGCUGGAGGGCAGUGGUGCGAUCUCAGCUCACUGCAACCUCCGCCUCCCGGGUUCAAGCGAUUCUCCUGCCUCAGCCUCCCCAGUAGCUGGGACUACAAGCACAUGCCACCAUGCCCAGCUAAUUUUUUUUUGUAUUUUUAGCACUUUGGGAGGCUGAGGCAGGUGGAUCACAAGGUCAGGAGUUUGAGACCAGCCUGACCAACAUGGUGAAACCCUGUCUCUACUAAAAAUACAAAAAUCAGCCGGGUGUGGUGGCAUGCACCUGUAGUCCCAGCUACUCCGGAGGCUGAGGCAGGAGAAUCACUUGAAGCUGGGAGGCGGAGGUUGCAGUGAGCCAAGAUCGUGCCACUGCACCGUAGCCUGGGUGAUAAGAGUGAGACUCUGUCUCAAAAAAAAAAAAAAAAAAAAAAAAAAAAAAAAAGGGCAGUGGAUGUAGAGCUGGCAAAAACAAUGACAUUGAGAUGAAGCGUGCUCAGGUCAGAGCUCUAACGAAGCCCUCUGCUGCAGACUGAAUGUUUGUAUCUCCCUCAUAUUCAUAUGUUGAAGUCCUAAGGUGAUGUUAUUUGGAAGUGGGCCUUUGGGAGGGAUUACAGCCUGAUAAGAGGAGACUUGAGAGCUUGCUUCUUCUCUGUGCCAUUUGGGGCUACAAUAGGAUGGUCGUCUGUACACCAGAAGUCAGGCCCUUGGUUGCCAGCAGAAUGGAAUUUGCCAGCACCUUGAUCUUAGACUCUUCACCCUGCAGACCUGAGGAAUAAAUGUGUGUUGUCAAGCCACCUGCUCCAUGCUAAAUUGUUAUAGUAGCCCAAGCAGAUUAAGAUGCCUCUGUUUGGCUGUCUAUGGCUGCAUAACAGACCACUCCAAAUCCAAUGAUUUUUAUCAUCUUUCACAAUUUCUGUGGGUCAGGAAUUUGGGAAGGGCUCAUCUGGGUGGUUCUGCCUUGGUGUCUCUUUUGUGGUUACAGUGGAAGCCGGAGCACUGGGGAGCUGGAGCAGCUGGGAGCUGGCCAAGCAUCUCUCUUCAUAUAGCCUCAAGGCCUCUCCAUGUUGUCUCUCUGCAUGAGCCAGUUGGGCUUCCUCACAGCAUGGCAGCUGAGAGUGUUGACACCUCUUACACUGUAGCUCAGGACUCCCAUGAGUCAGGCCACAUUGCCUUUAUGACCCAGCCUCACAAGUCACCAUAGAAUCAUUUCUACUGUAGUCUGAGUCACUAAGUUUGGCUCAGAUUCAAGGGGAAGAAACAGACUCUGUUACUCAGUGGGAGGAGUCUUAAAGAAUUUAUAGACAUGGUUGGGCACGAUGGCUGAAGUCUGUAAUCCUAGCACUUUGGGAGGCCAAGAUGGGAGGAUCGCUUGAGCCCAGGAGCUCGAGACCAGCUUGGUCAACACAGGGAGCCCCUAUCUCUCCAAAAAACUUAAAAGUUAAAAAAAAUUAGCUGAGCAUGGUGGCACGCACCUGAUCGCACCACUGUAUCCAGCUCGGGCAACAAAGUGAGACUCUAUCUC